UCUUGUUUAGCUUAAAAGGAAAAAGCAACGAUCUUCUAAAUCGUUUAUUGUAGGUUCAAAUCCUAUAACAAGUA
rnacentral:tRNA from 1 species